CGGGACAAGGGGCGGGGCCAGGCCGUGGGCGGGGUGGGCGGGGCCGCGGCUGGCGUGGGCGGGAGCGAGAGUCCGGAACCGGCGGGAGUCUGGGACUGGGCUAGGGGAGGACAGCCCUGGGCCGGGUCCGGCACCUCGCCAGGCCUCUGCCCUGCCGGGAGCCUGUGGACACUAUCAUUCUCUCCUCACGUGACAGGGGACUCGGUGACGUCGCCGUUUGGAGGCUUGGGGGUGCGUUCUGGGCUUUGGAAGUAAAGGAAGCGGAACGCAGUAGGAAUGGGAGCCCCAAGGCGGACAGCCGCCCUGAGGAGCCGCACGAAUCCGCUGCUACCUUCCUCCACACCCACUCACGGGCGACUCCUGGCAGAGGGUUCUGGCGACCCCUGCACUCCCCGCUCUGUUAGUGUGAGCGUCUGGCAUCCUGAGCGCCCCAGCCAGCCUAGCCAUCCUGAUUUCUGUAUCAGAGGAUGUGGCAAGACCCAAGCAUGUGGGGCACCUUGCGUCAGAGGAAGUGGCUUUCUUGUUGCAGCAAAAAUUCCAGCACCCAUAUCAUGAAUGAAUCAGCAUACAGCUGGCCCUGGUGGUAUUCCUUGUGGUGGUGGAUUGCUCCCAUGGUUCCAGCUGGUAAAUGUCCUCCAGAAGCUUUCUUCUUCAUCCUAGCGGCAACUUCAUAAUUCCAUCUUCCCAAAACUUUUUAUCUUUUUGAGCAAAGAACCGUUCCAGGUACCUUUAACAGUCGUCCAGGGAAUUGAAUUUUUUUCCAUUAAGAGAAUUUUGUAAAGACCUAAAUAAGUGGAAAUUCGAAGGUGCGAUGUCUGGUGAUUACGAAGGAUGAAUCAGAACUUCCCAGCCAAGCUGUAACAGUUUUUGCCUGGUCAUCAAAGAAACAUGAGGUGUUGCCGUUAUCCUGAUAGAAGAUUAUGUGUU